ACGAGUUGUUGGUCUAGUGGUA
rnacentral:siRNA from 1 species